rnacentral:rRNA from 1 species
CUACGGGACACUGCAGUGGGGAAUAUUGCACAAUGGGCGCAAGCCUGAUGCAGCCAUGCCGCGUGUAUGAAGAAGGCCUUCGGGUUGUAAAGUACUUUCAGCGGGUAGGAAGGGAGUAAAGUUAAUACCUUUGCUCAUUGACGUUACCCGCAGAAGAAGCACCGGCUAACUCCGUGCCAGCAGCCGCGGUAAUACGGAGGUUGCAAGCGUUAAUCGGAAUUACUGGGCGUAAAGCGCACGCAGGCGGUUUGUUAAGUCAGAUGUGAAAUCCCCGGGCUCAACCUGGGAACUGCAUCUGAUACUGGCAAGCUUGAGUCUCGUAGAGGGGGGUAGAAUUCCAGGUGUAGCGGUGAAAUGCGUAGAGAUCUGGAGGAAUACCGGUGGCGAAGGCGGCCCCCUGGACGAAGACUGACGCUCAGGUGCGAAAGCGUGGGGAGCAAACAGGAUUAGAUACCCGCGUAGUC